GCCUUUAUAGCUCAGUGGUAGAGCGUUGGUCUCGUAAACCAAAGGCCGAGAGUUCAAUCCUCUCUGAAGGCA